rnacentral:rRNA from 1 species
UACGAAGGGGGCUAGCGUUGUUCGGAAUUACUGGGCGUAAAGCGCACGUAGGCGGAUUGUUAAGUGAGGGGUGAAAUCCCAGGGCUCAACCCUGGAACUGCCUCUCAUACUGGCAAUCUUGAGGUCGAGAGAGGUGAGUGGAAUUCCGAGUGUAGAGGUGAAAUUCGUAGAUAUUCGGAGGAACACCAGUGGCGAAGGCGGCUCACUGGCUCGAUACUGACGCUGAGGUGCGAAAGCGUGGGGAGCAAACAGG